UACAGAGGGUGCGAGCGUUGUUCGGAAUUAUUGGGCGUAAAGCGCGUGUAGGCGGCUUUGCAAGUCGGGUGUGAAAUCCCUCAGCUCAACUGAGGAAGUGCGCCCGAAACUGCAGAGCUUGAGUACCAGAGAGGAUGGCAGAAUUCCCCAAGUAGAGGUGAAAUUCGUAGAUAUGGGGAGGAAUACCGGUGGCGAAGGCGGCCAUCUGGAUGGAUACUGGACGCUGAGACGCGAAAGCGUGGGGAGCAAACAGG
rnacentral:rRNA from 1 species